rnacentral:rRNA from 1 species
AUGAAAGAUAGCUCAAACGACCAUACUGACAAGUAUGGUGGCAGCCUUGAGAACCGAUGCCGCUUUGCCGUGGAGGUGAUUGAUGCUAUCAUCCACGAGAUCGGUGUGGAUCGUGUGGGAAUCAGGUUGUCUCCGUUCGUUGACUACACGGAUUGCUUCGACUCUAAUCCACAUGUGCUCAGUACCUACAUGGUACAACAACUCAAUAAGCACAAAGGGUUUCUUUACUGCCACAUGAUAGAGCCUCACAUGACCAUUGUGGAUGGCCGCAUGCAGAUACCCCAUGGGCUAUUGCCCUUUAGGAAAGCAUUUAAUGGCACUUUUAUUGCCGCUGGAGGGUAUGAUCGAGAGGAAGGCAACAAAGUGGUGAUUGAUGGUUAUACUGAUCUCGUUGCCUAUGGGAGGCUAUUUCUGGCUAAUCCGGAUUUGCCUAAGAGAUUCGAGCUAGAUGUCCCCUUGAACAAGUAUGACCGGUCCACCUUCUACACGCAGGAUUCUGUCAUCGGUUACACAGAUUAUCCUUUCUUUAAUGGCUCAAAUGCAGAGUAG